rnacentral:lncRNA from 1 species
CAGGAGCGGCUGAGAGCAGAAGAUGGAGCGGGAACAUUGAGAACAGCCCCCCAGGGCUUCAGCCCACUGGAAGCUUACGCGGCCCAUCACUGGAGGGUUUUGAAGCCGGUGGUGCAUUGAAGCUCUUCAAUUUAGAGCAUCCCGGUGAAGUGGCUACAUCCGCAUACAUCACACAAGAGGAAAGAGAGGCUGGGAGAGAUUAAGUAAUUGACACAAAUCUCCCAGUGACUAAGGAGUAGAGCCAAGAUUCAGAUGUGGAUCAAGU